AUACGGAGGGUGCAAACGUUGCUCGGAAUAACUGGGCGUAAAGCGCGUGUAGGCGGUUUCUUAAGUCGACUGUGAAAGCCCACGGCUCAACCGUGGAAGUGCAGUCGAAACUGGGAAACUGGAGUCCUGGAGAGGGUGGCGGAAUUCCCAGUGUAGAGGUGAAAUUCGUAGAUAUUGGGAGGAACACCGGUGGCGAAGGCGGCCACCUGGACAGGUACUGACGCUGAGACGCGAAAGCGUGGGGAGCAAACAGGAUUAGAAACCCCAGUAGUCC
rnacentral:rRNA from 1 species